rnacentral:rRNA from 1 species
AGAGUUUGAUUCUGGCUCAGAACGAACGCUGGCGGCGUGGAUAAGACAUGCAAGUCGAACGAGAGAAUUGCUAGCUUGCUAAUAAUUCUCUAGUGGCGCACGGGUGAGUAACACGUGAGUAACCUGCCCCCGAGAGCGGGAUAGCCCUGGGAAACUGGGAUUAAUACCGCAUAGUAUCGAAAGAUUAAAGCAGCAAUGCGCUUGGGGAUGGGCUCGCGGCCUAUUAGUUAGUUGGUGAGGUAACGGCUCACCAAGGCGAUGACGGGUAGCCGGUCUGAGAGGAUGUCCGGCCACACUGGAACUGAGACACGGUCCAGACACCUACGGGUGGCAGCAGUCGAGAAUCAUUCACAAUGGGGGAAACCCUGAUGGUGUGACGCCGCGUGGGGGAAUGAAGGUCUUCGGAUUGUAAACCCCUGUCAUGUGGGAGCAAAUUAAAAAGAUAGUACCACAAGAGGAAGAGACGGCUAACUCUGUGCCAGCAGCCGCGGUAAUACAGAGGUCUCAAGCGUUGUUCGGAAUCACUGGGCGUAAAGCGUGCGUAGGCUGUUUCGUAAGUCGUGUGUGAAAGGCGCGGGCUCAACCCGCGGACGGCACAUGAUACUGCGAGACUAGAGUAAUGGAGGGGGAACCGGAAUUCUCGGUGUAGCAGUGAAAUGCGUAGAUAUCGAGAGGAACACUCGUGGCGAAGGCGGGUUCCUGGACAUUAACUGACGCUGAGGCACGAAGGCCAGGGGAGCGAAAGGGAUUAGAUACCCCUGUAGUCCUGGCAGUAAACGGUGCACGCUUGGUGUGCGGGGAAUCGACCCCCUGCGUGCCGGAGCUAACGCGUUAAGCGUGCCGCCUGGGGAGUACGGUCGCAAGAUUAAAACUCAAAGAAAUUGACGGGGACCCGCACAAGCGGUGGAGUAUGUGGCUUAAUUCGAUGCAACGCGAAGAACCUUACCUGGGCUUGACAUGUAAUGAACAACAUGUGAAAGCAUGCGACUCUUCGGAGGCGUUACACAGGUGCUGCAU